GUUUUAACAAUCUGGGAAUCUCUCAAUCACAGGACACUUAUCUAUCAUGCCCCUUGUAACAUGUUGUUACAAAGAGUGUAGCUCAAAACCUUGCUUUUUGAGUUUUCUGAAUCAGUCUGAAAAUCAUACUGCUUGUAACACAGUAUGAAACAUACUCCUUGUAUCCCAGUCUGAAAAUGAUACUCCUUGUUACAAGUCAGCAGAGACAUGAAGGACAGGAGAGGCAAUGGAGUCUCCAAGGCUCUAGCCACACCCAGCAUACACUGAGGGAGACAAAACGAAAACAAAAACAAACAAAAAAACACACAAAGAAACGAUUUUCUUUGUAUUACCCACAGUUCUCAACUUUACUGAUAUGGAUUGAAACUUAAAACUAGAAAAUCUUCUCCUCUUUUUUGUAAAGAGGAGAGAGAUGAGUACAGUUAAAUUCCCGGACUUUUCCUCUCACCAAGUCACAAUUUCACUGUCCAGCCACACCAACAGUUCAGCGCUCUCUUGGCAGUAGAGGCCAAAAGCUUCCAAAUAGACUCUGAAAGUGGCUAUGCAGCCAUGGCAAGUGACGGGAACCCCUUGUUUCUGACAGGAAAACAACUCAGGAGCUGCUUGCCACUUUCACUGGGGCCUUUUGGAAAGCCUGACUUCGAUGGGCCCUAGGGGUGCAUUGUUGAGGGGGAAGAUGAGAGAGCUCAAGAGGCUUGUGGAACAGAAAGUGGACUAUGAACAAUCCAAAGAAAGUGGUGGAUGGUUUCUGGAAGGACAAGUCUGCACCAGAGAAUAAAAGGGCAUUCCUUAGGGUUGCUGAGGAUUUUCUUCGAUUGUAUUCUGCUAAUGUGUGUGCAAGGCAGAUAUAACACAUUUGUGGAAGGCUCUAGAGACAUUUUCCACAAAUUUUACCCUGGUUUCAGAACAACUUUCUCUGAUCUCUGUGGACAUGCUUAAAAUGGCUGACUCACACAGCAAGAGUAUUUAACUGUGCCUAAAAUCAACCCACAUUCAGAUGCUAACUGUAAUCCUAUUCCCUGAUCCAUCAGGAAAAAGAGUCUGAUUGACAUAACUUGUCAAGUGUUCGUCCCAGCUUCUAUCAACUAUGGGGAAGGAAGGGCCAGAAGAGGUGUAACCAUCAUGGCUACCAGGUUUUGAGAUAUUUAGAUUACAUACUGCAUUUAUUAAAAUACAAAUUAAAUCUGCAAUAAAACACUAAUUGACCAUUCUCUGGGAUUCCUCCUAUGGGUAAUAUUUUCUGCAGAAAAUGUUAACCUCUCCCGUAAUGGUUAAG
ensembl:lincRNA